UACGUAGGGUGCGAGCGUUGUCCGGAAUUAUUGGGCGUAAAGAGCUCGUAGGCGGUCUGUCGCGUCUGCUGUGAAAACUCAGGGCUUAACCCUGAGCUUGCAGUGGGUACGGGCAGACUAGAGUGCGGUAGGGGAGACUGGAAUUCCUGGUGUAGCGGUGGAAUGCGCAGAUAUCAGGAAGAACACCGGUGGCGAAGGCGGCUCUCUGGGCCUUACCUGACGCUGAGGAGCGAAAGCGUGGGUAGCGAACAGG
rnacentral:rRNA from 1 species